UUCCGUAGGUGACCUGCGGAGGAUCUUAGUGAUUGCCAUCUUGGCUUAAACUAUAUCCAUCUACACCUGUGAACCGUUUGAUUGAAUCUUCUGAUUCAAUUUUACAAACAUUGUGUAAUGAACGUCAUUAGAUCAUAACAAAAAAAAACUUUUAACAACGGAUCUCUUGGCUCUCGCAUCGAUGAAGAACGCAGCGAAAUGCGAUAAGUAAUGUGAAUUGCAGAAUUCAGUGAAUCAUCGAAUCUUUGAACGCAACUUGCGCUCUCUGGUAUUCCGGAGAGCAUGCCUGUUUGAGUGUCAUGAAAUCUCAACCAUUAGGGUUUCUUAAUGGCUUGGAUUUGGAGGUUGCCAUUCUAAAUGGCUCCUCUUAAAGGAGUUAGCAAGUUUUACUAUUGCUAUCUGGCGUAAUAAGUUUCGCUGGAAUGGUAUUGUGAAGCGUGCUUCUAAUCGUCUUCGGACAAUUACUUUGACUCUGGCCUCAAAUCAGGUAGGACUACCCGCUGAACUUAAGCAUAUCAAUAAGCGGAGGA
rnacentral:rRNA from 1 species